ncrna:unclassified sequences Glutamine riboswitch
AUCGUUUAUCCCAUUUUGGGACGGAAGUAGGCAAUCGCCGAAGAAACGCACC